UUACGGACGCCAUCACGAGUUGGUUGACCGUUAUGGAAAAACCGUUUCACAAAUGAUAUCGGAUAUGUUCCUUACGUCGUAACUACAAUCCCCUUCCCUUUCAUGAAUGUGACCUACCGAAUUAGACUAUUUACCGGAUUUGUUAUCACAUAAGCAACACGACGGGUGCCGCAUGUGGAGCAGGAUCUGCUUACCCUUCCGGAGC
rnacentral:lncRNA from 1 species